CAAUAGCGUAUAUUAAAGUUGUUGCGGUUAAAAAGCUCGUAGUUGGAUUUCUGCCGAGGACGACCGGUCCGCCCUCUGGGUGUGUAUCUGGUUUGGCCUGGGCAUCUUCUUGGAGAACGUAGCUGCACUUGACUGUGUGGUGCGGUGUCCAGGACUUUUACUUUGAGGAAAUUAGAGUGUUUCAAGCAGGCACACGCCUUGAAUACAUUAGCAUGGAAUAAUAAGAUAGGACCUCGGUUCUAUUUUGUUGGUUUCUAGAGCUGAGGUAAUGAUUAAUAGGGAUAGUUGGGGGCAUUCGUAUUUAACUGUCAGAGGUGAAAUUCUUGGGUUUGUUAAAGACGGACUACUGCGAAAGCAUUUGCCAAGGAUGUUUUCAUUGA
rnacentral:rRNA from 1 species